rnacentral:rRNA from 1 species
UACGGGGGAGCAAGGCGUUGUUCGGAUUUACUGGGCGUAAAGGGCGCGUAGGCGGUCAGCACAAGUCAGUUGUGAAAUCUCCGGGCUUAACUCGGAAAGGUCAACUGAUACUGUGCGACUAGAGUGCAGAAGGGGCAACUGGAAUUCUCGGUGUAGCGGUGAAAUGCGUAGAUAUCGAGAGGAACACCUGCGGCGAAGGCGGGUUGCUGGGCUGACACUGACGCUGAUGCGCGAAAGCGUGGGGAGCGAACAGG